rnacentral:tRNA from 1 species
GUCAAGUUAGUUUAUAAAAAUAUCAGCCUGUGGAUUUGAAGAUGAAAACAUUUUUCACUUGACC